rnacentral:lncRNA from 7 species
AAUCUCUAAGAGGACAGCAGGUUGUAUGUGAAUGCUGGGAAGAGGAAAUUCUUAGGGCUCACAAAGGGCUUCGUACAAGGACUAACGUUACGUUCCUCAGUACAGAAUGAAGUCACACUGGAUUACACAAUACUCUUAAAUCCAGUUCUGGCACAGCUUGUCUUCCAGAGAUCAGAGACUGAAGAGACUUGGAGUUCCAACUUCAUUUUGGCCAAACCCAGUAGAGGACUGAGGUGGCUCAAGGGUAGUGCUUGGAGGCUCUGCUCACCAUUUGCUCCAAGGGUGCAACCAGCUGCCUCUCUGCCCCAGUGCUGGAGCAGCUGCAUGUCCCCAUUGCAGCAUGGCUGAUGCUUGGGCCUACUGAGCGCUUGAGGGGAUUUGUGCCUGGGGAGAGCAUCCCCAUGUCACUAUGGAGGCAGCCAUUGUAGAGGUGUGGAGAGACCACACCUCCAAGCUCCAAGAACUUUCCACAGUCAGUUUUUGUCCCUCUCAGUCCUAAUCCUGAUGCCAUUGGCACGCUUCUGACCUGAGGAUAGAGGCAAGACUAUCUCCCCAGUGGGGGGCAGCUGCUCCUGAAAUGAAGUCAUUUCCACAAGCUCAUGGGAAAUAGACAUUUGGAGUCCUUUAAAUGUUUCUCCCAGCUCAAAUGAUUCUAUGAAUUCAGUGGACGCUGGACUGAGAAUCUUCUAACAAAGUGGGACUCCUUUGCUCCUGGAUAUCUCAAGUCGGACGCUCACCAUUACCAGAUGAUUCUGACCUUAAUCUCACCGUGCCCCAGUUUCCUGUCUGAUCCCUCUAUGACAAGGAAAAAGGCAGAAGUUCACUGAUGCCUACCAAGCACCAGGAGAUUAGUGAAGAGCACCAUGAAGAAAUUAAUUCUUCCAUACUUGAGUGGAGUUUGGCUGGGGUCCCGGCAGCAUGGCACAGGGCCACGUUGAAUGAGAAGUGUAAAGGAGAAACGUUGAGCAGUUACCCAUUCGCUGAGAACCAUCCUGAGUGCAUCCUAGAUGUAUAGCACACAGGAAGCCUGAAUUCUUCCCGAUUCCUGUGUGCUUGUCUCAGCCAUCCACGCCUAUCUGAAUGCUGCUGCUUCAUGCAAGUUCUGCACCCCUUUGCUUUGCACUGCCAAAGAUAGUAAGGGAUGGGAGCUCCAUAACCUCUAGGUCAGGUUGUCGAGACUUACCUGCGCAACACAGCAGAGAAUGAAGAAUUCUCGCUGGUGCCAAGUCAGAUACCAGCAAGUACUUUGGCUCUGAAUUUUCAUCAAUAUUUUCCAUCAGUUCUUAUUUUUAUACCAGAAGUAACAACUUUUGUCAAGGUUGUAUUGAUUUCCUGUCUGUCAAACCAAUUGUUCAAAUUUUGAAAGGGGAACAAAACAAAAGAUGGAGAAAUAGG